GAUGAAGAACGCAGCGAAAUGCGAUAAGUAGUGUGAAUUGCAGAAUUCAGUGAAUCAUCGAAUCUUUGAACGCACAUUGCGCCCCUUGGUAUCCCGAGGGGCAUGCCUGUUCGAGCGUCAUUUCACCACACAAGCCUGGCUUGGUGUUGGGCGACGUCCCCUUUGGGGACGCGCCUCGAAACGCUCGGCGGCGUGGCACCGGCUUUAAGCGUAGCAGAAUCUUUCGCUUUGGAAGUCGGGGCCCCGUCUGCCGGAAGACCUACUCGCAAGGUUGACCUCGGAUCAGGCAGGGAUACCCGCUGAACUUAAGCAUAUCAAUAAGCGGAGGA
rnacentral:misc_RNA from 1 species